rnacentral:lncRNA from 1 species
CCGGGCAGCGGCGGACGCAGAGAGGGAGGGAGCGGGCACACAUCCGGGCCUCCGCCGCGCUCCGCACCGCCACAGCGCCCGCGGACGGAGCGGGGGAUCCCGGAGCGCAGGUGGGGCCGUCCCGUCCCGUCCCGUUGGCGGAGAGGCGGAACUUCGGCCGAAGUUGCGCGGCGCGGAGGCUCCACGGCUGAUCCUGCUGAGAGCCCCUGAGAUACAGAGCUCUAUGGGAACUGAGACCACUUGACUGCACUCAGCACCUUUCAGGAGCAGCCCUAGGUAACUGUUCUCAUUCUCAGCAUGGAUUGUGGGUGAAGUUUGUUCUGAGUUCUGCAGACAAGCCUCAGUGAUACUCCUCGCUGUCCGUUCCGUGGAUCUGUUAACCCGUUCUGCUCAGGUCGCAGAA